rnacentral:misc_RNA from 1 species
UUUUUGACUUCUCAGACUGCAAAAAUAGAAUAAUAGUAUAUUGAAUAUAUUAUUAAAAUGAACGACCUUAAAAUCAUUUCUCAAUAGCAUCUGAACAACCCCCAUGUGGAGUUUUCAGGAAAUGAAUCAAAAGAGUCAUUGGUGGAGCAUUUCCAGCCUUCUUUGACUUCUCAAACAACAAAAAUAGAAUAAAAUAAAAUUAAUUUUCUUCGUAAGCUUGUAAUCCCACAUGAAGAGAAGCAUAUGACUUCCACUAAAUAUAAACAAAUGCAUUGCCUUAAAAUAUGCAGGAACUUAAAAGUAACUCCAAAAUUUUCGAAAAUUGAGCAACACUAAUUCAACACACUUAUUAAACUAUG